CAUUGAAUACAGAUAAAUUGGAUUUCAAAUAUCGAAUAUGUAGGUGAGCUAUAACACUUGGACACAAAUUUCACAUUACUGGACGUGAAAAAUUACCAUUUCAAGCAAGAUAUUUAUUUUUAUACAGAAAUGUUUUAAGAGGACUUAGUACCGUAAACCUUCAAAACAAAUUAUUUCUAGAAUUUAACCCUUAUUGGUUAAUUACUACGUUUGCUUGUAUAUUUAGUAUGAUAUAUCUAACAUUUGUAUUUAACAGCAAUAAAGUGUGU